GAUGAACGCUGGCGGCGUGCCUAAUACAUGCAAGUCGAGCGAACAGAUAAGGAGCUUGCUCCUUUGACGUUAGCGGCGGACGGGUGAGUCACACGUGGGUAACCUACCUAUAAGACUGGGAUAACUUCGGGAAAGCGGCGCUAAUACCGGAUAACAUCUGGAACCGCAUGGUUCUAAAGUGAAUGAUGGUUGUGCUAUCACUUAUAGCGGGACCCCGGCCGUAUGAGCUGGUUGGUAAGGUAACGGCCUACCAAGGCGACGAUUCGUAGACGACGGAAGAGGGUGGUAGGCCACCCGGGAGGGGGGACGGGGACCAGACUCCUACGGGAGGCAGCAGUAGGGAACGUUCCGCAAUGGGCGGAAGCCUGACGGAGCAAGGGCGCGCCAGAGAUGGAGGCGUUCGGCUCGUAAUACUGGGUUAUUAGGGAAGAACAGAUGUGGAAGGAACUGUGCACGGCUUGACGGUACCUGAUAAGGAAGCAACGGCUAACUACGUG
rnacentral:rRNA from 1 species